rnacentral:rRNA from 1 species
CUUUCCCUCUGGCGGCAGGCCUAACACAUGCAAGUCGAGCGGAUGAAGGGGGCUUGCUCCUGGAUUCAGCGGCGGACGGGUGAGUAAUGCCUAGGAAUCUGCCUGGUAGUGGGGGAUAACGUCCGGAAACGGGCGCUAAUACCGCAUACGUCCUGAGGGAGAAAGUGGGGGAUCUUCGGACCUCACGCUAUCAGAUGAGCCUAGGUCGGAUUAGCUAGUUGGUGGGGUAAAGGCCUACCAAGGCGACGAUCCGUAACUGGUCUGAGAGGAUGAUCAGUCACACUGGAACUGAGACACGGUCCAGACUCCUACGGGAGGCAGCAGUGGGGAAUAUUGGACAAUGGGCGAAAGCCUGAUCCAGCCAUGCCGCGUGUGUGAAGAAGGUCUUCGGAUUGUAAAGCACUUUAAGUUGGGAGGAAGGGCAGUAAGUUAAUACCUUGCUGUUUUGACGUUACCAACAGAAUAAGCACCGGCUAACUUCGUG